GAUGAACGCUGGCGGCGUGCCUAAUACAUGCAAGUCGAGCGAACAGACGAGGAGCUUGCUCCUCUGACGUUAGCGGCGGACGGGUGAGUAACACGUGGAUAACCUACCUAUAAGACUGGGAUAACUUCGGGAAACCGGAGCUAAUACCGGAUAAUAUAUUGAACCGCAUGGUUCAAUAGUGAAAGACGGUUUUGCUGUCACUUAUAGAUGGAUCCGCGCCGCAUUAGCUAGUUGGUAAGGUAACGGCUUACCAAGGCAACGAUGCGUAGCCGACCUGAGAGGGUGAUCGGCCACACUGGAACUGAGACACGGUCCAGACUCCUACGGGAGGCAGCAGUAGGGAAUCUUCCGCAAUGGGCGAAAGCUUGACGGAGCAACGCCGCGUGAGUGAUGAAGGUCUUCGGAUCGUAAAACUCUGUUAUUAGGGAAGAACAAAUGUGUAAGUAACUAUGCACGUCUUGACGGUACCUAAUCAGAAAGCCACAGCUAACUACGU
rnacentral:rRNA from 1 species